rnacentral:lncRNA from 1 species
UGAAGAAGGAGCUUUGAAGAAAAAGAGAGUAUAUGAUUGGAGGAAAAGUCUCACAACCUGAGACUGUGUACACUCUGAGUGAAGACUGAGAUUGCUAUCAUUUGUAACUAUAUGAUGGCUUCCUAUAUAGAAGUCAUUCAUCAUCAUCAUCAUUAUCAAAAUAGCUAACAUUUAUUUGUUUUAUAUCUUGCAGAGAACUCUCCCAACUGGAUUCUCGGCAUCCCACUCCAGUACUCUUGCCAGGAAAAUCCCAUGGAUGGAGGAGCUUGAAAUUCUGAAGACUGAAGGAAGGAGAAUGAGCACAAACUCUAGGAUCCAAUUCUUUGGCUACAAAACUUUUCCAACACCAAAAGGAAUUACAGGAGAUAAUAAAUCCCUCCACAGGAUCAGAAGCUCAGGGCCUCCCUUUUCCAAAGGAGACAGCCCUCAAGAAGACUUUGAAUGAUAAGGAGCCAGG